rnacentral:tRNA from 1 species
GCGCCCGUAGCUCAGCCGGAUAGAGCAACUGCCUUCUAAGCAGUAGGUCAACCGUUCGAGUCGGUUCGGGCGCGCCA